CCCAGACUCCUACGGGAGGCAGCAGUGGGGAAUAUUGGGCAAUGGGCGCAAGCCUGACCCAGCAACGCCGCGUGAAGGAAGAAGGCUUUCGGGUUGUAAACUUCUUUUAAGAGGGAAGAGCAGAAGACGGUACCUCUUGAAUAAGCCACGACUAACUACGUGCCAGCAGCCGCGGUAAUACGUAGGUGGCAAGCGUUGUCCGGAUUUACUGGGUGUAAAGGGCGUGCAGCCGGGCUGACAAGUCAGAUGUGAAAUCCCGUGGCUCAACCACGGAACUGCAUUUGAAACUGUCGGUCUUGAGUAUCGGAGAGGCAGGCGGAAUUCCUAGUGUAGCGGUGAAAUGCGUAGAUAUUAGGAGGAACACCAGUGGCGAAGGCGACUUUCUGGACUGUACCUGACGCUGAGGCGCGAAAGCGUGGGUAGCGAACGGGAUUAGAUACCCCCGUA
rnacentral:rRNA from 1 species